UACGUAGGGUGCGAGCGUUAAUCGGAAUUACUGGGCGUAAAGCGUGCGCAGGCGGUUCGUUGUGUCCGAUGUGAAAGCCCAGGGCUCAACCCUGGAAGUGCACUCGAUACUGUAUGGCUCGAGUACUGGAGAGGUUGGUGGAAUUCUCGGUGUAGAGGUGAAAUUCGUAGAUAUCGAGAGGAACACCGGUGGCGAAGGCGGCCAACUGGACAGAUACUGACGCUGAGACACGAAAGCGUGGGGAGCAAACAGG
rnacentral:rRNA from 1 species